GCGUGGCAUGGCAUGACGAAAUGGCACCACCAGAAGUGGAGCCUGCGGCUUUAUUUGGCUCAACACGGGGAAACUUACAAGGUCCAAACAUAGUAAGGAUUGACACACUGAGAGCUCUUUCUUCAUUCUACUGCUGGUGGUGCAUGGUCGUUCUUAGUUGGUGAAGCGAUAUGUCUGGUUAAUUCCGUUAACGAAUGAGACCUCAUCCUGCUAACUAGCUAUGCGGAGGUAUCCCUUCGCGGCCAGCUUCUUAGAGGGACUACGGCCUUUUAGGCCGCGAAUGUUUGAGGCAAUAACAGGUCUGUGAUGCCCUUAGAUGUUAUGGGCCGCACGCGCGCUACACUGAUUAUUCAACGAGUUUAUAGCCUUGGCCAAUAGGCCCGGGUAAUCUUUGAAAUUUCAUCGUGAUAGGGAUAUAUCAUUGCAUUUAUUGGUUUUCAACAAGGAAUUCCUAGUAAGCACGAGUCAUCAGCUCGCAUUGACUACGUCCCUACCCUUUGUACACACCGCCCGUCGCUCCUAUUGAUUGAAUGAUUUAGUGAAAUGUUUGGAUCGCGGCGACAUGGGCGGUUCGCUGCCCGCAAAGUCGUGAGAAGUCCAUUGAACCUUAUCAUUUAGAGGAAGGAGAAGUCGUAACAAGGUUUCCAUAGGUUAACCUGCUGAAG
rnacentral:ncRNA from 1 species